AAACCUGAGUUUGGAGUGAUCCAGAACUGAUGAAGUUGGUACAUUUUGGAGAAGCCAUAAAUCGGAGAAAAACUACUAGUUUUUCUGAUGGUGAUGAUCUAGAAGCCAAGUGGUUUGCUUCUAAGGUUCGAAGUAAUGAAAUAGUUUCUCAUGUCAUGCAACCAGUGCCACCUCAAGACAGAGAAAGGGAGAACCUUACUUCCAUUUGCAGCCCAAGUGAACCAGUUGGUACAGGAGCUAGAGUUGAU